rnacentral:lncRNA from 1 species
CGCUCUGACUCCGCGGAGGGCCGGUAGAGCCUCGGAGGCCCGGGAAGGAUUGUGGACGCCAGCUCGUCCAUCCUUAGACCUUGGGGCCACGCGGAUCCGCGACCUGAGGUGGCCGCUCUGUCCCAGUUGGACGAGACCUCUCCUCGUCCGGGCAACGACGGACAAAGGCCUUAACGGGCCCGCAAGGUGAGCGGAGCCGCAGUUGACGGCGGGUGGAACGUUAGCGGGCCAGCGGGCGGUGAUCGUCGUUCUACCGAGACAUUGAUGUCGGAAGAUGGAAAUGGUAGAAUAACAUACCCCUUGUGGCCAACAGAAAGUGCCCGCCGUCCUCUGGGAAGAUUUACUGGCCGCUGAUACAGGCCUGUGUAUAUAAUAUGAAAAAGCUGCUCUCAACCUUUCCCCCGACCCUUUUCAGACUUUUGGCUAAAUCUGGUCAUGUAGCUGUAGAGAUUGCCGACGUAG